AAAAGGCAACAUCUUAUAAUGUGGUAAAAUGAUGCAUCUUGUAAUGUGGUUGGAAGGCGUUGUAGCACACACCCUUCCCUUGAUUCUAAAUGUGCGCUACUAGUGUGAAGACGAGAAAUUUUUGUUAUUAUUUAAAAAAAAGUUUUUGUAAUUAUAA